rfam:Microbial mat metagenome hsmat01_BHWG2156_x1, whole genome shotgun sequence.
CGAGUCCCGAACCGGAAAGGACUGGCCGUCCACCGGAAUCGAGUGUUGCGUGGUGCGGGAGUGAUCUCGCCUGCGAAGCGUACACAGAGGGCGUGUAGGCCGUGUGAUUGAGCCCCGAAAGUGGCACGUGCGGAGCCGACGUUGUUAAUGGUGCGGAAGGCAACAGCAUCCCCAUCGCAAUGGCCUGGUGAGGAUGCUCCGCCGGGGUCGAAGAGCA